UAAUACGAGAUAACAUAAGAGAUUCGCAUGGAUUUCUUAUCAAAGCUUUUGCGGUAUAGGAUGGACCCGCGUCUGAUUAGCUAGUUGGUAAGGUAACGGCUUACCAAGGCGACGAUCAGUAGCCGACCUGAGAGGGUGAUCGGCCACAUUGGAACUGAGACACGGUCCAAACUCCUACGGGAGGCAGCAGUGGGGAAUAUUGCACAAUGGGCGAAAGCCUGAUGCAGCAACGCCGCGUGAGCGAUGAAGGCCUUCGGGUCGUAAAGCUCUGUCCUCAAGGAAGAUAAUUUUUGUACUUGAGGAGGAAGCCCCGGCUAACUACGUGCCAGCAGCCGCGGUAAUACGUAGGGGGCUAGCGUUAUCCGGAAUUACUGGGCGUAAAGGGUGCGUAGGUGGUUUCUUAAGUCAGAGGUGAAAGGCUACGGCUCAACCGUAGUAAGCCUUUGAAACUGAGAAACUUGAGUGCAAGAGAGGAGAGUAGAAUUCCUAGUGUAGCGGUGAAAUGCGUAGAUAUUAGGAGGAAUACCAGUUGCGAAGGCGGCUCUCUGGACUGUAACUGACACUGAGGCACGAAAGCGUGGGGAGCAAACAGGAUUAGAUACCCUGGUAGUCCACGCCGUAAACGAUGAGUACUAGCUGUCGGAGGUUACCCCCUUCGGUGGCGCAGCUAACGCAUUAAGUACUCCGCCUGGGAAGUACGCUCGCA
rnacentral:rRNA from 1 species